rnacentral:misc_RNA from 1 species
GAGAAUUUAUGUGAGGGAGAAAGAAACGUAUGGUGGAGGAGGUUGAAGGGGUUGGCGUUAAGCAACAGUUAAAAUAGUAACCGCAGAGAGAGAGAAGAGAGAGGGAAGGUUUGGUUUUUUUAGCUUUAGCUUUAGCUUUUGUAUUGAGAGAGAGGGUAGUUUGGAUUUUCAACAGAACGCAAGUAUAGGCAUGUUAGUUGUUGGUGGUGGUGGUGG